UUUUAGGGUAGACACUAAGACGUUGGGGUAAAAUACGCUCCCUCGAGACGGGCGACUCACGCGUGGGAACGUACCUUUUGGUUCAGGACAACACACGGAAACUUGUGCUAAUGCCGGACAAGCCCUUACGGGGAAAGAUUUAUCGUCGAAAGAUCGUUGCCGAGUCUGAUUAGCUAUGUGGCGAGGUUAUGGCUCACCAAGGCGACCAUCCCUAACUGGCCUGAUAGGAUGAUCAUUCACAUUGGGACUGAGACACGGCCCAAACUCCUACGGGAGGCAGCCGUGGUGAAUAUUGUACAAUGGGGGUAACCCUGAUCCACCCCUGCCGCGGGAGUGAUGAAUGCCCUAGGCUUGUGAAGCUCUUUUGUGCCGGAAGAUAAUGACGGCACCCCUCGAAUAAGCCCCGGUUAACUUCGUGCUAGCAGCCGCGGGAAUACGAAGGCGACUAGAGUUGCUCGUAAUCACUGCCCGUACAGGGUGCGUAGGGGGGUCUUUAAGUCAUGCGCGAAAUCCCGAAGCUCAACUCCAGAACUGCCUCUGAUACUGAACAUCUUGAGUUCCUUAGAGGUGAGUGCAACUGCCAGUGCUCACGUGAAAUUCUUAUAUAUUCGCUAGAACACCCGCGGCGAAGGCGACUCACUGGCCCGAUACUGACUCUGAUGCACGAAAGCACUGGCGAGCAAAUCUAGAUUAGAUAUGCUCGGCAGGCCACUCCCGGAAACAAAUGAAUGUACAGCCGCCUAGUGAGNUUUACUCCCCCACUGGCGGGAGCUAAGCGCUUUUAAGCCAUACUGUCCUGGGGAAAAAC
rnacentral:rRNA from 1 species